GGUCCUGUAGUGUAGUGGUAAGCACACUGGUUUUUGAAGUGAUUUGAUUGAUUUGAUUUGAAAAUUACCUUGAAAAUUACCAGUGACCCCGGUUCGAACCCGGGCAGGACCU
rnacentral:tRNA from 1 species